rnacentral:rRNA from 1 species
UACGUAGGGUGCAAGCGUGUCCGGAAUUAUUGGGCGUAAAGAGCUCGUAGGCGGUUUGUCGCGUCUGCUGUGAAAUCCCGAGGCUCAACCUCGGGUCUGCAGUGGGUACGGGCAGACUAGAGUGUGGUAGGGGGAGAUUGGAAUUCCUGGUGUAGCGGUGGAAUGCGCAGAUAUCAGGAGGAACACCGAUGGCGAAGGCAGAUCUCUGGGGCCAUUACUGACGCUGAGGGAGCGAAAAGCAUGGGGGAGCGAACAGG